AAAUUCUCAAUCCUUAUUCAGCUUUGGCUGAUCUGGAUUGGAUUGUGGGGGUGUUUUGCGGGCUUCAGAAGUCAGCUCCCCUGAAAUGCAUUAGCGGAACCUUUGUGGAUCUGGCUCCAGGUGUGAUAAUUAUCUUACACCAUGGCUGUGAAGCAGUCUGCGUUCGGCUCUCUAAAAACCUGUCUGUCUUCUUGGAGACAACUACUUUUAUGACA
rnacentral:misc_RNA from 1 species